rnacentral:lncRNA from 1 species
CUUCAAUAUCGCCACCUACUGUGGUGGAGUGUAAUAUCAUAACGGUAAACAUUUAAAUAAAGUGCACUGCACACUCGUCAGAAACUGAAUGUUAAAUAUUUAGCAAGAAUGUGUACAUCAGGCGUACUAAUAAAAAAAAUAUAUGCUGGUAAACACAGUUCAGCAAUUUACUAUCAAUCCUGGCUACAUUUCCACCUGCAAAUUGCCGUAAUUAAUAACAUCAGCACUAGAAAGUUCCCCCCUACUAUUUGUGACUUUACCUAAAUAUUCAUGUAUUUAAUUAUAAAAGUCCACUUUUCUCAACCUUCGUGGGAGAAGUAUCUGGAUUGAGGUUUAUGAACGAUUUAGUUUAGCUAAUCAUCGACUACUCCCUGGUGGACAAAAGAUGAUCAACAGCAUAGUUCCAAAUGGACUCAGUACUUCCUCAAUUCAACAGAAAGGGCUGUAUUAUAGCGGUGUGCUUGGUAGUUGCUUGAAGAAUUCAUGAGAUAACCCUGUCUCUGGUUACAUUUAUGAUUCUGUGGGAGAGUUGCUGCUCUGAGAGUGAAGAGGAACUUAGUCUGUCAUGGACACACACCAAGGAACUCAGACUCUGUCGUUGAUAUGUACAAAGCUAAUCCUAAAGUCAAUGAGGACUGGGGAGUACUGCACCAAAGCUCAGAGACCACGCUGCUGCCACAACUUGGUACUGACUCGGCAGCCAUUUUGGGAACAACAUCAAAUCAUUUUGUACCAGAGGUGCCAGACAAAGACUAGCCAAAAGCAAUCCAGAGAGAAGGACCCUAGCAACAAAGCUACAAUGAGGAGGCAGACCUCCCUGUUCCUGACUUCAAAACCUGACCUUUCACAAAAUAAUUGUCACUGCUAAGCUGUAGCUUCUUUUGGACAUGGUGGUAGACUGGCGGGGCAAUGCUGCGGCCCGGGAUCCUUCAUCACAACGCAUGCUUUUAAAAAAUAAAAACAUUUGAUGCAACGUUUGAUGCUCUUUAACCAGUUUAUUUUGAAUUUGACGCCAUUUGAAUUGCAUUGAUGCUAAAGCGAUCAAUCUGUUUUAUUCCUUAAUGUAUAUUUCGUAAUAGUAAAGAGGUAAUUUGUCGUGCAACACUUGUAGCUUGUAAGGCAAUCAUAC